UAGGGAAUAUUGCUUAAUGGGCGAAAGCCUGAAGCAGCAACGCCGCGUGUGUGAAGAAGGCCUUCGGGUUGUAAAACACUUUUUGAGGGAAUGAGGAAGGACAGUACCCUCAGAAUAAGCCUCGGCUAACUACGUGCCAGCAGCCGCGGUAAAACGUAGGAGGCGAGCGUUAUCCGGAUUUACUGGGCGUAAAGCGCGUGCAGGCGGCACGGCAAGUUGGAUGUGAAAGCUCCCGGCUUAACUGGGAGAGGUCGUUCAAAACUGCCGAGCUAGAGUACGGGAGAGGGAGGUGGAAUUCCGGGUGUAGGGGUGAAAUGCGUAGAUAUCCGGAGGAACACCAGUGGCGAAAGCGGCCUCCUGGUCCGCAACUGACGCUCAGACGCGAAAGCUAGGGUAGCAAACGG
rnacentral:rRNA from 1 species